UUGCGCGGCGAAAAAACCUUACACACAGUGUUUUUUGUUAUUACAAGAACUUUUGCUUUGGUCUGGACUAGAAAUAGUUUGGGCCAGAGGUUUACUGAACUAAACUUCAAUAUUUAUAUUGAAUUGUUAUUUAUUUAAUUGUCAAUUUGUUGAUUAAAUUCAAAAAAUCUUCAAAACUUUCAACAACGGAUCUCUUGGUUCUCGCAUCGAUGAAGAACGCAGCGAAAUGCGAUAAGUAAUAUGAAUUGCAGAUUUUCGUGAAUCAUCGAAUCUUUGAACGCACAUUGCGCCCUCUGGUAUUCCAGAGGGCAUGCCUGUUUGAGCGUCAUUUCUCUCUCAAACCUUCGGGUUUGGUAUUGAGUGAUACUCUUAGUCGAACUAGGCGUUUGCUUGAAAUGUAUUGGCAUGAGUGGUACUGGAUAGUGCUAUAUGACUUUCAAUGUAUUAGGUUUAUCCAACUCGUUGAAUAGUUUAAUGGUAUAUUUCUCGGUAUUCUAGGCUCGGCCUUACAAUAUAACAAACAAGUUUGACCUCAAAUCAGGUAGGAUUACCCGCUGAACUUAAGCAUAUCAAUAGCCGGAGG
rnacentral:rRNA from 1 species